CCUACGGGAGGCAGCAGUGGGGAAUAUUGGGCAAUGGGCGCAAGCCUGACCCAGCAACGCCGCGUGAAGGAAGAAGGCUUUCGGGUUGUAAACCUCUGUCCUCUGUGAAGAUAAUGACGGUAGCAGAGGAGGAAGCUCCGGCUAACUACGUGCCAGCAGCCGCGGUAAUACGUAGGGAGCAAGCGUUAUCCGGAUUUACUGGGUGUAAAGGGAGCGUAGACGGCAGUGCAAGUCUGGAGUGAAAGGCGGGGGCUCAACCCCCGGACUGCUCUGGAAACUGUACGGCUGGAGUGCAGGAGAGGUAAGUGGAAUUCCUAGUGUAGCGGUGAAAUGCGUAGAUAUUAGGAGGAACACCAGUGGCGAAGGCGGCUUACUGGACUGUAACUGACGUUGAGGCUCGAAAGCGUGGGGAGCAAACAGGAUUAGAUACCCCAGUAGUC
rnacentral:rRNA from 1 species